rnacentral:lncRNA from 1 species
GUGUGGAGCACAAUGUUCAGCCAUCGUGGAGACUAUGAGAAACAAAUCCGUGUGUACAAACUGCCAAAACAUAAAAGGUUCUGCUCCUGGCCUGGGAGGAGGUCUGGCCAGCCCUCAUCAUGACACACUGCUGGGCAGGUUUUGGCAAAAGGAGAAUAUCCCUUCCUCCUGGAACCCUCUUAUGACUGGUAGGCAAUCCAGGCUGACCUGCUCUGGACUGCUUCAAGAGUUUAUUUCAUUUUCCUUAUCUAGAUCUCAUCCCAGGAGCUCCAGGGCAAACUCCCCCUCCACCAGCGCAGGGACAAUGUUGCCAGGCAAGAAGAGACAGCAGAGCAAACACUCCAGCCCACCCCAUUGUCAGCUGCUGUGCUGGAUUAAACAAGACCAGAAUUCACUCCUCUUAUUGCAGGUCCUUUGCCAAGUUAUUUCCAUGAUUUAAGGAGUACUGAUUAAAAAAAAAAAGAAAAAAAAAUAGAAAGAGUAACAGAGAGAUGAAAGGAGCAUCCACACUGUAUUCGAAAAGGUUUUCUGAAGAGGUGGGUUGAUUUUAAUUAACUUCCUGAAUGAAACAAUUCAGGUCUGGAGCUGGCAAUCUCCAAUAAUCACUUUUUGGCCUCUGGAUAAAAAAGGAGUCAAUUACACAAAACAAUGCAACAAAAAGGCAGUCAAUGGAAGGAAGUAGUUCUGUGUAUUACAGCAGUACACACAUUUAGAGAGGCCCAGGAUCCAGAGGCCCAACAUGAGAUUAAUCCCCACUGCAGUAGACACUAAAUACACAUUACAAGAAACAGCCCCCUUACUCCAAAGCUUAUCUUCUCUGCAAGACUAGUUCCUGUUUAUAUAUUUUGAGCAUUUCCCCUAAUUCAAAGUAUAUGCACAGAAAAAGCCUUAACUUUAUUGUGAGUUGCUGUCCCAGGAGUCCCACAAACUGCAGUUCCAGUCACCCAACAUCUGAAGUGACCAUUCUGUAACAGGAACAUCACUUGGCAUCACUCAGCUCUUCCUUCAUCCCUAAAUCUUACCCUCUGCACCAUCUUUUGUGUAUUCUAAAGAGGUAAUUUAGAUUUUCCUUUGGUGGAGCUAAUACAGAACUUGAGGACAUGUCCAAAAUAUUCCUGUUGCCAUUAAGCAAGACAGAUUAGAAUGAGAGAACAAAUAAACAAAAAAAAGGUCAGAUACA